rnacentral:rRNA from 1 species
UAUUUUAAGAGUUUGAUCCUGGCUCAGGAUAAACGCUAGCGAUUAGCUUUACACAUGCAAGUUGAGGGGAUUAUAAUAUAAAAUUUAUUUUAUAUUGUAACGACCAGCGUACGGGUGAGUAAUACAUAUGUAAUUUACAUUUUGUUAGAAAAUACUUCAAGUAAUAUUGAAUUAAUGUUCUAUAAAGUAAAAAAUUACUAGGAUUUUUUAUAAAAGUUUUUAUUUAAAAAUAAAAAUGACAAAAUAAAAGCAUAUGCCUGAUUAGUUAGUUGGUAAGGUAAUGGCUUACCAAGACAAUGAUCAGUAGGGGGCCUGAGAGGGUGAUCCCCCACACUGGUACUGAGACACGGACCAGACUCCUACGGGAGGCAGCAGUGAGGAAUAUUGGUCAAUGGAGGAAACUCUGAACCAGCUAUUUCGCGUGUAGGAAGAAAACUAUAUAAGUUGUAAACUACUUUUGUAUAAGAAUAAAAAAUUACUUUUUGUAAUAUAUUGAAGUUAUUAUACGAAUAAGCAUCGGCUAACUCUGUGCCAGCAGCCGCGGUAAUACGGAGGAUGCAAGCGUUAUCCGGAAUUAUUGGGUUUAAAGGGUACGUAGGUUGAUAUUUAAGUCAGUAGUGAAAUCUUACAGCUUAACUUAUAAAAAUGCUAUUGAUACUAUUUAUCUAGAGUUAUAAUGGAGUAACUGGAAUGUGUGGUGUAGCGGUGAAAUGCUUAGAUAUCACACAGAACACCAAUCGCGAAGGCAGGUUACUAAUUAUAUACUGACGCUGAGGUACGAAAGCGUGGGGAGCAAACAGGAUUAGAUAUCCUGGUAGUCCACGCCGUAAACGAUGAUCACUAGCUAUUGGAUAAUAUAUUUUUCAGUUGCUAAGCGAAAGUGAUAAGUGAUCCACCUGGGGAGUACGAUCGCAAGAUUGAAACUCAAAGGAAUUGACGGGGGCCCGCACAAGCGGUGGAGCAUGUGGUUUAAUUCGAUGNNNNNNNNNNGAAUUGACGGGGGCCCGCACAAGCGGUGGAGCAUGUGGUUUAAUUCGAUGAUACGCGAGGAACCUUACCAAGAUUUAAAUGUACUACGAAUAAAUUGGAAACAAUUUAGUUCUUCGGACGGAGUACAAGGUGCUGCAUGGUUGUCGUCAGCUCGUGCCGUGAGAUGUUAGGUUAAGUCCUUUAACGAGCGCAACCCUUAUCAUUAGUUGCUAACAGAUAAAGCUGAGAUAUCUAAUGAGACAGCUAACGUAAGUUUAGAGGAAGGUGAGGAUGACGUCAAAUCAUCAUGGCCCUUACAUCUUGGGCUACACACGUGCUACAAUGGUCGGUACAAAAAGCAACCACUAGGUAACUAGGAGUAAAUCUCGAAAACCGAUCUAAGUUCGGAUUGGAGUCUGCAACUCGACUCUAUGAAGCUGGAAUCGCUAGUAAUCGCGCAUCAGCAAUGGCGCGGUGAAUACGUUCCCGGGCCUUGUACACACCGCCCGUCAAGCCAUGGAAGUUAAUGUUACUCAAAAUUGGGUACUUUAAAAAGUAUUAAUUAAAGUAAGAUCAAUGACUGGGGCUAAGUCGUAACAAGGUAGCCGUACCGGAAGAUGUGGCUGGAAAUUAUCCGUU